UUGUGGUGGUUGCCGGCGGUUUUCUCCGACGGUAGUUGUCUGAAUCUGGCGAGAAGUCCAGUCUGCUGCUGAAUUUUUAGGAGUCGAUUUGAGGGGGAAACGGGCGUCGCCUCUCGAGCCCCGGUUGGCCUUGUUGCAGCCCACUAAAGCACAAAUUCUUCAUGAGUUCUCAGUUGAGGCUAAAGUUUAGUUGGUGGCUCUACUGAUAAGG